rnacentral:rRNA from 1 species
UACGUAGGGUGCAAGCGUUAAUCGGAAUUACUGGGCGUAAAGCGUGCGCAGGCGGCUUUGCAAGACAGAUGUGAAAUCCCCGGGCUCAACCUGGGAACUGCAUUUGUGACUGCAAGGCUAGAGUACGGUAGAGGGGGAUGGAAUUCCGCGUGUAGCAGUGAAAUGCGUAGAUAUGCGGAGGAACACCGAUGGCGAAGGCAAUCCCCUGGACUAGCACUGACGCUCAGGCACGAAAGCGUGGGGAGCAAACAGG